AGCGAACGCUGGCGGCAGGCCUAACACAUGCAAGUCGAACGGAUCCUUCGGGGUUAGUGGCGGACGGGUGAGUAACACGUGGGAACGUGCCUUUAGGUUCGGAAUAGCUCCUGGAAACGGGUGGUAAUGCCGAGUGUGCCCUUCGGGGGAAAGAUUUAUCGCCUUUAGAGCGGCCCGCGUCUGAUUAGCUAGUUGGUGAGGUAACGGCUCACCAAGGCGACGAUCAGUAGCUGGUCUGAGAGGAUGACCAGCCACACUGGGACUGAGACACGGCCCAGACUCCUACGGGAGGCAGCAGUGGGGAAUCUUGCGCAAUGGGCGAAAGCCUGACGCAGCCAUGCCGCGUGAAUGAUGAAGGUCUUAGGAUUGUAAAAUUCUUUCACCGGGGACGAUAAUGACGUACCCGGAGAAGAAGCCCGCUAACUUC
rnacentral:rRNA from 1 species